rnacentral:rRNA from 1 species
GACGGAAGGUGCAAGCGUUGCUCGGAAUCACUGGGCGUAAAGGGUGCGUAGGCGGCUUCUUAAGUCUGGUGUGAAAGCCCAGGGCUCAGCUCUGGAAGUGCACUAGAAACUGGGAAGCUUGAGUACCGGAGGGGAGACUGGAAUUCCUGGUGUAGCGGUGGAAUGCGCAGAUAUCAGGAGGAACACCAGUGGCGAAGGCGGCUUUCUGGACGGUAACUGACGCUGAGACGCGAAAGCGUGGGGAGCAAACAGG